UACGAAGGGUGCAAACGUUGCUCGGAAUCAUUGGGCGUAAAGCGCACGUAGGCGGCCUCAUAAGUCGGAUGUGAAAUCCCUCGGCUCAACCGAGGACGUGCAUACGAAACUGCGAGGCUCGAGUAUGGAAGAGGGUCGCGGAAUUCCCGGUGUAGAGGUGAAAUUCGUAGAUAUCGGGAGGAACACCAGUGGCGAAGGCGGCGACCUGGGCCAAUACUGACGCUGAGGUGCGAAAGCUAGGGGAGCGAACAGG
rnacentral:rRNA from 1 species